rnacentral:rRNA from 1 species
ACGCACGCUGGCGGCGUGCUUAACACCUGCAAGUCGCACGGAAAGGCCCUGCUUUUGUGGGGUGCUCGAGUGGCGAACGGGUGAGUAACACGUGAGUAACCUGCCCUUGACUUUGGGAUAACUUCAGGAAACUGGGGCUAAUACCGGAUAGGAGCUCCUGCUGCAUGGUGGGGGUUGGAAAGUUUCGGCGGUUGGGGAUGGACUCGCGGCUUAUCAGCUUGUUGGUGGGGUAGUGGCUUACCAAGGCUUUGACGGGUAGCCGGCCUGAGAGGGUGACCGGCCACAUUGGGACUGAGAUACGGCCCAGACUCCUACGGGAGGCAGCAGUGGGGAAUAUUGCACAAUGGGCGGAAGCCUGAUGCAGCAACGCCGCGUGCGGGAUGACGGCCUUCGGGUUGUAAACCGCUUUCGCCUGUGACGAAGCGUGAGUGACGGUAAUGGGUAAAGAAGCACCGGCUAACUACGUG